rnacentral:rRNA from 1 species
CAGUCGACGGUAACAGGCCUUCGGGCGCUGACGAGUGGCGGACGGGUGAGUAAUACAUGGGAAUCUGCCCUUAGGUGGGGGAUAACGUUGGGAAACUAACGCUAAUACCGCAUAAUCUCUUCGGAGCAAAGCGUGGGAUCUUCGGACCACGUGCCAAAGGAUGAGCCCAUGUCUGAUUAGCUAGUUGGUGAGGUAAUGGCUCACCAAGGCGACGAUCAGUAGCCGGCCUGAGAGGGUGGACGGCCACACUGGGACUGAGACACGGCCCAGACUCCUACGGGAGGCAGCAGUGGG